AAAUAAAUGAUUAAUCUAGUUAUUGUAUAUAAAUAUGUUUUGCUAAUCCCAGAAUUAAAAAAGUAAUAUGUAGUUAUGGCAAUUAUAAUCUAAUCAGCAAUGCCGCGAGCAAGACGAUCGAAUCUUUCCCGUCAAAGUCGUAAUGCAAGAAGGAUACGAAAUACUCGACUUCGUGCCACACGAGAACAACAGAGAUCAACAAAUAUAUAAUUUGCUACGCAGAACAAGAUAUUUAUCAAGUGCUGAUUUGAAUCGAUCAGCGUUUCGAUACGAUUGCAGCAAGGAUUACAGCUUGCAUCCUAGCGUUUGGGCAAAUGGACGUUGUUUUUGAGUAUUGUGGUGCAUUAAAGUUUUCCGGAGAAACGGCUGGAUUAUGAAAUUGCCGUUGUUGAUUCCGCCACAUGAUGCAUUGUAUGCAUUGCUUUGUGGCGAAGCACAAGAAUCUCGCCACUUUCUUGCAAACACUCAAAAUUACAAUGUUUGUUUCCAAAUGACGUCAUUUGGGACAAAUAUUAUCGAAGGAGGAUUUAAUCCGAAAUUUAAGUGCUUAUAACCCAGUUGAUACUGUCUGGUUAUUAUUUUGUAGAUACAAGGACAGAUUUACCAUCAUUCAAAUCUAUUGACUGCAUCACAAAUGAAGAUGAAGCCACCAAAUAUCCAAUUGAAUUUUUAAACUCUUUGGAUGUGCCUGGCUUACCACCGCACAAUUUACGCCUAAAAUUGCUUCGAAUCCAAACCAACCAAAACUGUGCGACGAUACGCGUUUGGUGGUUAGAAAAUUGAUGAACAAUGUAAUUUACGCUACGAUAAUGAUAGGAAAAUUCAAAGGUGAGGAAGUUCUUAUUCCGAGGAUCCCGAUAAUCCCAACCGAUAUGCCGUUUGAAUUUAAAAGAAUUCAAUUCUUUAUACGUCUUGCAUUUGCCAUGACCAUCAAUAAAUCACAAGUCCAAUCCUUAAAAGUUUGUGGUUUAAAUCUAAAACAUUCAUGUUUUUCCCAUGACCAAAUAUACAAGUACGUGGCAUGUUCACGGGUUGGAAGAUCAUUUUCGUUGUUUGUUUUUGCGUCUGAUAAUAAAACAAAAAAUGUCGUCUAUCACAAGAUACUUAGGUGAAGGGCAAC